UGGAGCCAGUCUUCCCAAGGUGAAAUCCUAACUUUGCCACUUACUAGCCAUGUGAACUUGGGCAAGUGACCUAAUCCUCUGCAUUUCAUCUCUAAAUUGGGGAGAAUAGAAGCAUCUACUUCAUGUAGUAGCCAGGAUUAGAAGAGGGAGGAAUAACUGGGCCCUGGAUAGAAUGUGAUGAAUGUAUAUUCUUAAUGAGAAGUGGAAAUAAUUUGUGGUUGAGAGCUGUGCCUCAGAUCAGAGUGACAGGAUACAUGGCUAGGCUAUAUUUUCCAGCAGAUUAAGAGCUGCGGCCCAAGACUCUGAAAUAUGAAGAAAAAAGGAGAAGAUGACAGCAUAUCUUUUUAAAGAAAUAUUUUCCAGCCAAAUGGUGUAGCAGAGGACUUCCAGGAAUUUGUUCUUGUUCUGUAUCAAAGGUGAAGAGUUCGUAGCCUUCAAGGAAACAAGAAACCAUGGGAUGGAGUGAAGGAAGGUGGCCUGGAACCAGCUGCUGAGCCUCUCUGAGCCCCAGUUUCCUCGUCUCUAAAAUGGGGCUGAUCUCCUCUCCCUCAGACUGUUGUUGCAGGAAUUAAAACAGGUGUUGAGUGGGAAAGCAUCAGUCCCAUAGCAAAUGGCCCCUGAGUAGUAGGAUCUGAGUUCUGGUUCUGGUCCUGCUGGGGUAUGGCUGGUUGAGAGGUCAAAGAGGUAAUUAAAGGGAUUGCCAGCUUCA
rnacentral:lncRNA from 1 species